GAUGAACGCUGGCGGCGUGCCUAAUACAUGCAAGUAGAACGCUGAAGGAGGAGCUUGCUCUUCUGGAUGAGUUGCGAACGGGUGAGUAACGCGUAGGUAACCUGCCUGGUAGCGGGGGAUAACUAUUGGAAACGAUAGCUAAUACCGCAUGACAACAGUUAUUGCAUGAUAACUGUUUAAAAGGGGCAACUGCUCCACUACCAGAUGGACCUGCGUUGUAUUAGCUAGUUGGUGAGGUAACGGCUCACCAAGGCGACGAUACAUAGCCGACCUGAGAGGGUGAUCGGCCACACUGGGACUGAGACACGGCCCAGACUCCUACGGGAGGCAGCAGUAGGGAAUCUUCGGCAAUGGACGGAAGUCUGACCGAGCAACGCCGCGUGAGUGAAGAAGGUUGUCGGAUCGUAAAGCUCGGUUGUAAGAGAAGAACGAGUGUGAGAGUGGAAAGUUCACACUGUGACGGUAGCUUACCAGAAAGGGACGGCUAACUACGUG
rnacentral:rRNA from 1 species